UACGGAGGGGGCUAGCGUUGUUCGGAAUUACUGGGCGUAAAGCGCACGUAGGCGGCUUUGUAAGUUAGGGGUGAAAGCCCGGGGCUCAACUCCGGAAUUGCCUUUAAGACUGCAUCGCUUGAAUCCGGGAGAGGUGAGUGGAAUUCCGAGUGUAGAGGUGAAAUUCGUAGAUAUUCGGAAGAACACCAGUGGCGAAGGCGGCUCACUGGACCGGUAUUGACGCUGAGGUGCGAAAGCGUGGGGAGCAAACAGG
rnacentral:rRNA from 1 species